rnacentral:lncRNA from 1 species
UUAUGCAAAUCAAUAGCAUGUUUUGAAUGAAAUAGGCAUGAGUUCUAGCAUUUGGAACUAAAUGAUGGAACGUCUUCUAAGUAGCAACCGAGCAAAAAAUAAUGAGAUCAUGCAACGACUUUAGAAAACAAUGAUGCACAUAUUAUUAACUCUCCAAAUAAAUGUUUAGGCUCAAGUCUCACAAGGUUGUAGCGUUCAUUUAAGUUCCUUCCUUCAAGCAUGUUACAAAAACUGGUUUUUCCUAUAUGAUUACAUGUUAAUUCAUAAAUUAUAACCACAACCAAGCAUACACCAAAGAGUAAAUCAAAUUUUCAUCCAUGUUUAUAAUUCUUUUUAACAGUCAUGUAAUUAAAAACCAAAUCCUCAUCAUUGUGUUGGAAGGUACCCUAAGACACAAAUAAACACAUAAAAACAACUCUUUUUGGGUUUUUCAAAACAAUUUUUCAAAUUUAUGAGAUUUUCGGAUUUUUAUGUCAAAACACACUUAAACACUCCAAAACAGCUUUAAAACACUUAAAAACAGCAAGGAACAACACUAGAAGUAAUAGGUGAUAAACUCCUACGAAUUUUAUGCAAAACAACUUGGUUAUCCCCCCACACUUAAAUCAAACAUUGUCUUCAAUGUUUCAAGCAUAAACACACACAAAAACAAGCAAACAAACAAACAACGAAUAAACAUGACAAGUAUAGCAAAGUAAAAACCAGACAGAGUAGAGUUUAAGAACGCAAAUCUGGUUUUGGAGAUAGAUGAUCUUGUUGACUUUCCACAACUUUGAUCUCGAACUGGUUUGGAAUUCUGAGCAAGGAAUAUUAGAGUUCCUUGGUUGUGCAGUCUGCAUUCUUCUCUGCUUGUUUCUUCUGCACGGCAGGCAGGCACGAGGUAGAGGUAAUGGUCUGUUUCUUUCUUCAAUCUUU